ACUCCAUGCAGACAGGAGCUGGGCUGCCC
rnacentral:piRNA from 1 species